rnacentral:misc_RNA from 1 species
CUGAAGAAACUGACUCUGGCUGUAGCUGGCUCCUCGGAGUAUGUGCUCGCCUUAGUCGCUUUUUCUACUUUCCACUGUGCACCUUUGUAGGCUCACGACGUAUAAGUAGUAGGCUCGCUGCAAAGCUUGUCUUCGACUUGUCGCGGGAUCUACGUUUACACACACUCUUACAAAGUCCAGAAUGUCUCUUUGUUGGUCUUUAGACCGAUAAAACUUGUA